ensembl:snoRNA
UGCAAAUGAUGUUUUUUCUCACGAUGGUCUUCCAAGCUCAGGAAGCUCUGACGACACUGCCUUUGGCAAACGCUGAUGUGGCUUG